AUGGCAGCAUCGGAGACUUCAAUAGUGAGGGUGCCGUCGAGGUGCAAAGCAGAGACGGCGCGGGGCACGGUCGCGUUCCAGAUCGCCGGCUAUAGCUUGCACAAGGGCCUCGGUAGAGGCAACUGCCUCCGCUCUCCGGCAUUCUCCAUCGGCGGCUACGAAUGGUGCAUCCACUACUACCCAGACGGAAGCAAACACGAGGAUAGCGAAGGUUACGUAUCUGUCUUCCUCAAGCUCUUGACCAAGAACGCCGAGGUGAAGGCGCUCCACAACGUCAUGCUCGUGGAUACGGCCAGAGGGGGGUCGAUUAUUAUGAACGCCUACAAAGGUACAAAAGUGUUCGACAGUAAAACACCAUCUUGGGGCGUACGAAAGUUCAUGAAGAAUACAGCUGAAGUAGACUCGGUGUACCUGCGGAACGAUUGUCUCAUAAUCGAGUGUGAAGUCAGUGUAAUCAAGGAAACACCAGAUAUCCAUGUGCCGCCCUCUGAUCUUUCAGGUAAUCUUGCAACCUUGCUAGAGGCGAAGAUAGGAGCAGACGUGACUUUCAAGGUGCAGGGGGAGGUUUUUUCUGCUCACAAGGUUUUGCUUGCGGUGCGAUCGGCGGUCUUCAAUGCAGAGUUCUACGGGCCGAUGGGUGACAAAGGGGCGCAUGACAUAACUAUUGACGACAUGCAGCCUGGUGUUUUCAAGGCAUUUCUUCACUUCAUGUACACGGAUUCAAUGCCUCCCAUGGACAAUCUUGAGGAUGAUGACAAAAGAGAAAUGGUUAAACACUUACUCGUGCCUGCCGACAGGUAUGCCAUGGAAAGGAUGAAAAUGAUAUGUGAAGGCAUGCUAUGCAAGAGUCUUGAUGUUGAGACUGUAGCGACCAUAUUAGCUCUGGCUGACCAGCAUCAUUGCAGUAAGCUCAAAGAUGCUUGCAUUGAAUUUAUGCUCUCUUCAAAUAGAAUGAAUGAUGUGAUCGCAAGCCAAGGUUAUCUACACCUCAAAAUAUCUUCUCCUGAUGUCAUCAUGGAUGUGUUGGAGAGAGCAGCUAAGGCCCGCAAGAUUUAG
rnacentral:rRNA from 1 species